AUCCCCACGGUGAAGGUUCGCUGCUUCCCCAAUCAAAAGCCCUGUAUUAACACAGAGGUCUGUGCUAAGCUAAAGGACAGAGCUACCACUUACAGGGCUAUCACAGCCAACCCUGAGGCUAUGGCCAAGAAGACGUACAUGAAGUCCUGCUACGACCUCCACAAAGCCAUCAAACAGGCAAACAACAAUAUCGUAACAAGGUGCAAUCUUAUUAUACUGGCUCUGACACUCAGUGCAUGUAGCAGGGGCUACAGUACAUUAUGGACUAUAAAGGAAGCCGAGAUCUGUCCAACAAUGCCUCUCUACCAGACAAACCAGUUGCCUUUUAUGCACGCUUUGACAACAACAACACAGAGACCUGCAUUAGGGCCCCUGUAGAUCCUGAGGACUGGGUGAUCUCUCUCUCCAAGGCUGACGUGAGUAAUGUCUUUAAAUGGGUCAAUACUCGUAAGAUGGUUUCCAGGGCAUGUCCUCAGGGCAUGUGCAGACCAGCUGCCAGGCAUCUUCACUGACAUUUUCAACCUCUCAUUGUCCAAGUCUGUAAUCCCCACAUGUUUCAAGCUGACUAGCAUCAUUCCUGUUCCCAAAAACUCUAAGGCAUCCUGUCACAUUGACUACCGCCCUGUAACAUUCACAUUUGUAAUAAUGAAGUGCUUUUAAAGGCUGGUCAUGGCACACAUCAACUCUAUCAUCCCAUGUACCCUGGACCCACUCCAAUUUUCAUACCGCCCCAACAGAUCCACAGACGACGCAAUCCCAAUUGCACUCCACACUGCCCACUCCCACCCAGAAAAGAGGAAUAGCUAUGUGAGGAUGCCGUUCAUCAACUACAGCUCAGCAUUCAACACCAUCGUGCCCUCCAAGCUCGUCACCAAGCCCUGGGAUUGAACACCACUCUGCAACUGGAUCUUGGACUUCCUGAUGGGCCGACCCCAGGUGGUAAGAGUAGGGCACAACACUUCCGCCAUGCUGACCCUCAACAUGGGAGCCCCCCAGGAAUGUGUGCUUAGCCCCCUCCUGUACUCCCUGUUCACUCACAACUGUGUGGCCAUCCAAGACAUACAUGCCAGGUGGUGUCUGAGAAAGGCUCAAAAAAAUUGCCAAAAACCCCAGCCACCCAAGAGAAGGAAUGUUCUCCAUGUUCCCAUCCAGCAUGCGGUACCGUAUUAAAGCACCAUUGAAGCACCACUAGAGCCUUACAAUGGACAGAUAGCUUGUGUAGUGGCCUUGAGAGAGACAGCAUGACUGACGAUGGGUGGACGCACCAGCCCGCUUGUGUCCAGACCUGUUUUGGUAUGUACCGCUCUUAGCAGCCAUGUCCCCACUCCCAGAAGGAGCCAAAGCCUCAGUGUUCUGAUAGUACUCCAAGAUUUGAGGGCACAAUUUCAAUAAAGGCUCGGUAUGCUGUAAUCUCUGCCUCAAGCAACUACCAUGAUUCUUAGGGUGAGCCUUGCCAACUUGCAUGUAUUACCAGUUGGAGAAUGCAGAGCAAGUUUCAAGGUGCAGUGGUCGUCUGAUGAGGCUAAAAAGCAGGAAUCUCGCUGUCAACCUUUUUUUUAGUUAAAGGUUGCUGCUGCAUGAGUGGCUGUGUGUGAAGCAUGGGUGUUGUGCUGCUGGUAUGUUUAAGGCAUGGUUUUUCUCUCCUCUUGCCGACCUGUGCUGUGAAAUGUUGGUAUUAGCACACAUGUAAACAGAUCAGGGAUGUGUGUGUGUGUGUGUGAGAGAGAAAGAGCGAGAUGGCGGGGACAGUGCUAUUUCAUAACCAUACCAUGGAGCAUAGUUUAGCAUAGGCUUUCUUUUGGAGUGGGUGAAUGUAGGUUGAAAUCUCAUUGGAAUGUGUUGUAUGAAUACAUAAUAUCUGACAUUGUAUUCCUAUUUGAACUUUCA
ensembl:lncRNA